AGUGAACGCUGGCGGUAGGCCUAACACAUGCAAGUCGAACGGCAGCACAGUAAGAGCUUGCUCUUACGGGUGGCGAGUGGCGGACGGGUGAGGAAUACAUCGGAAUCUACUUUUUCGUGGGGGAUAACGUAGGGAAACUUACGCUAAUACCGCAUACGACCUACGGGUGAAAGCAGGGGAUCUUCGGACCUUGCGCGAUUGAAUGAGCCGAUGUCGGAUUAGCUAGUUGGCGGGGUAAAGGCCCACCAAGGCGACGAUCCGUAGCUGGUCUGAGAGGAUGAUCAGCCACACUGGAACUGAGACACGGUCCAGACUCCUACGGGAGGCAGCAGUGGGGAAUAUUGGACAAUGGGCGCAAGCCGGAUCCAGCCAUACCGCGUGGGUGAAGAAGGCCUUCGGGUUGUAAAGCCCUUUUGUUGGGAAAGAAAAGCAGCAGGUUAAUACCCCGCUGUUCUGACGGUACCCAAAGAAUAAGCACCGGCUAACUUCGUG
rnacentral:rRNA from 1 species